GGCUCUUCUGUCCUAUCGAGGCCCAUUGUCUCAUGGAACCCAGGCCUAACAAUGUCCCAUUGUGGCUGUGCAAAGACAAGGUGGUUAAAUCCCAGUUUUCCAGCUGUCUGUCUUCAUUUUCAGUCUCCCGGACUGGUCCCCUGAGGAUGGCUCUGUUCCACUGCCUGGGCUCCAUGCUGCCAGCCAUAUUCUGGGUCAUGUGACAUCUCUGCAUCGCCACCGGCGUGGAAGGACUGGGUAACCAGCCAGCUGGAGAUGGUUAAUAAGAAGGCACUGGAGUGAUGGAAAGUUCCCUGGAAAUCACCUGCUUCCUGUGUCACCUCCCAGAUGGAGAAGGAUAUUCAUCAAACCUAAUUUUGGAUAAAAGUGACAUGAAACCAACAAUCAAGAAAGCUGCUGCUGAGAAGAAAGAUGCAGGACUCAGCAUAGAACCACACAGCUCUUCACAGCUUUACACAAGGCUCUGCCUCACACCCCACAGAAAGCCACUGUCCCUGCUGGAUAACCCUACCUGGGGACAACUCUCCCAGGGAGCUCAGAUUCACUGCCCAGGAGCCUGUUGGGAAGGACGGUGGGCAGGCGUGAUGCUCAGCCAGGAGGGAGCCUGUUGUGCAGGCAAAACACAGCCUUUGAGACGCUGACAUCGUGACAAGAGUGAGGAUUCAUGUCUGGAUCAUCAAAAAUGAUCACUCAUUGAAAAGCAAGUCUGGAAUCGACCGAGGGCUCUUAAUAGCUUCUCAUAGGUGUACCCACAGCAAGGGGGACUCGGGGCAGCUGUGUGGGUAUGUGGGGUGAAGCGGGCAGUGGGAGCUGCCUAGACCAGGAGCCAGUAUCCAGGGGUCUGUCCAUCAUGAUGGGUCCUUCAUUUUCUGUCCCCACCCAUCCACCAGGCAACAUGUUCCUCCUGGUUUUGCUUCCCUAAUAGACUUUUCUCCUGAAAAACACCGUUCCUGUUAGAAAAAAACUACAUGACUUUCCGUCUCAGACCAAUUUCACUUGCUUGGACAGUACAAGCGAGUUUUCCCCUAAAACCCGAUUACCCUGGAUAAACUGAAAGGCCAAAGUAAUACAACCACAGGUCAGCAACACUUGUGACUCGAGGAAUAAACAAUAAGGAAGGAGUCAAAGUCAGUUUCGAACGUAUAAGUCUGAGUGUGCAGUAGGAUGACCCACCGCAAGCACAACGAGGUGGAAUCACACGAAACAGCCUGCAGCCCGGCCUGCCCCCCGGCUGUCUCUGAUACCGUGUCAGGCCGGAGGGUCCCUCGGACACUGUCGGGAACCUCAGGGCCGUAUCCCACACCCAUGUUUGUCCAACAACGACAUGUCAAGUGCUCACUACAUGCACAACCCUGAGAAUGUGCCACACAAUCUUACAAGGAUGAAGCACACAGGGCCGAGUGUGCAAUAUAAGACACUUGAGAAAGGAAAACACCAUGCCUCCCAGAACCAAGGCCGGCGCUGGGGUCAACACAGCUGCUCCUCCUCACAGCCCUACUGUGCGCCGGAACCCGUGUGCAGGAAAGAGAGCUCAUCACCCUGGUGGCUCAGCGGUAAAGAAUCCACCUACAAUGCAGGAGACCUGGGUUCAGUCCUGGAGUCAGGAAGAUCCCCUGGAAGAAGGCAUGGCUACCCACUCCAGUAUUCUUGCCUGGAGGAUCCCAUGGACAGAGGAGUAUGGUGGGCAACAGUCCAUGGGGUUGUAGAGGCAGACACGACUUAGCGAAUAAACAACAAACAACAUCGCUGCGGAUGGUCA
ensembl:lncRNA